GCUCCAUUCUAGUCGCGGUGUCGUGCCCCAGCGCGCAGUCGGUGGGCAGCAGCUUAUGUAGGGCGCGCUCCUUGCUGAUAGCGAUGCCAGUCCCGGUAUCACAUAGAUGUUGCCAGCCGGUUAGCUGCACCGGGUCCAGAAUUGGCGGUAGCGUCCAGUGAUGGGGAGGCGCUGCCCCCGUGACUUGCCCACGGGAAAGCAUGUUCAUUACCGGUGCAGGAACAGCAACGCCGAGCAGCAUGGCAGCCUGGAAGAGUAUAAAUGUCUUGGUGCCUUCGAGUUUCUCCUUUGUGUUCAGAAUGCCUCCACUCUCACCGUGGCCGAAGGAUCCUUGGUCAGACACCAAAAACUCAGCUGUUCCAAAAUCUGGUACCGUCACUGGCACCAGAUCCUCGAGGAAGGAUGGGAACACUGGUUCGAACGAACCGCAUCUCGGCAGGGACUGGUGUUUCCGCAGCCACGGCUGAAACCUACACCUGUACUGGGAGAGAAUCCAGUGACUUCUAUUCCAUAAGGAAAUCCGAAGGAUCAUGCGUCGUCCAGCCCGGUUCACGCAGCCAUCUUCCGCCAGAACCCAAGUGCGAUAAUCGUGGUAUCAAG